UGGGGAAUAUUGCACAAUGGGGGAAACCCUGAUGCAGCGACGCCGCGUGAGCGAAGAAGGUUUUCGAAUCGUAAAGCUCUGUCCUAUGGGAAGAUAAUGACGGUACCAUAGGAGGAAGCCCCGGCUAACUACGUGCCAGCAGCCGCGGUAAGACGCAGGGGGCAAGCGUUGUCCGGAAUCACUGUGCGUAAAGGGUUCGCAGGCGGAAAUGCAAGUCAGUUGUGAAAGGCAGAGGCUCAACCUCUGUAAGCAAUUGAAACUGUAUUUCUUGAGAUGUGGAGAGGCAAGUGGAAUUCCUAGUGUAGCGGUGAAAUGCGUAGAUAUUAGGAAGAAUACCGGUGGCGAAGGCGACUUGCUGGACACAAACUGACGCUGAGGAACGAAAGCGUGGGUAGCAAACAGG
rnacentral:rRNA from 1 species